rnacentral:rRNA from 1 species
AGGCUUUGAUCCUGGCUCAGAUUGAACGCUGGCGGUAUGCUUAAGACAUGCAAGUCGAACGGAAUCUUCGGAUUCAGUGGCGGACGGGUGAGUAACACGUGGGAAUCUACCUAGUAGAGGGGGACAGCCCAGCGAAAGCUGGAUUAAUACCGCAUACGCCCUACGGGGGAAAGCAGCGAUGCGCUAUUAGAUGAGCCCGCGUUGGAUUAGCUAGUUGGUAGGGUAAAGGCCUACCAAGGCGACGAUCCAUAGCUGGUCUGAGAGGAUGGCCAGCCACAUCGGGACUGAGACACGGCCCGGACUCCUACGGGAGGCAGCAGUCGGGAAUAUUGGACAAUGGGCGGAAGCCUGAUCCAGCAAUACCGCGUGUGUGAAGAAGGCCUGCGGGUUGUAAAGCACUUUCAGUGGGGAAGAUAAUGACGUUACCCUACAGAAGAAGCACCGGCUACAUCCGUG